rnacentral:rRNA from 2 species
UCCGUAGGUGAACCUGCGGAAGGAUCCAUUA